CGGUGAAGCCCUUCGGGGUGGAUCAGUGGCGAACGGGUGAGUAACACGUGGGCAAUCUGCCCUGCACUCUGGGACAAGCCCUGGAAACGGGGUCUAAUACCGGAUAUUACCUUCCUCUGCAUGGGGGUUGGUGGAAAGCUCCGGCGGUGCAGGAUGAGCCCGCGGCCUAUCAGCUUGUUGGUGGGGUAAUGGCCUACCAAGGCGACGACGGGUAGCCGGCCUGAGAGGGCGACCGGCCACACUGGGACUGAGACACGGCCCAGACUCCUACGGGAGGCAGCAGUGGGGAAUAUUGCACAAUGGGCGAAAGCCUGAUGCAGCGACGCCGCGUGAGGGAUGACGGCCUUCGGGUUGUAAACCUCUUUCAGCAGGGAAGAAGCGAAAGUGACGGUACCUGCAGAAGAAGCACCGGCUAACUACGUGCCAGCAGCCGCGGUAAUACGUAGGGUGCGAGCGUUGUCCGGAAUUAUUGGGCGUAAAGAGCUCGUAGGCGGCUUGUCGCGUCGGUUGUGAAAGCCCGGGGCUUAACCCCGGGUCUGCAGUCGAUACGGGCAGGCUAGAGUUCGGUAGGGGAGAUCGGAAUUCCUGGUGUAGCGGUGAAAUGCGCAGAUAUCAGGAGGAACACCGGUGGCGAAGGCGGAUCUCUGGGCCGAUACUGACGCUGAGGAGCGAAAGCGUGGGGAGCGAACAGGAUUAGAUACCCUGGUAGUCCACGCCGUA
rnacentral:rRNA from 1 species